AUAACCCAAAAUGACACUACACCGGCUGACACCCAACCUUGAGUCUGAGUAGUAGAGUUUCUUACUUAGCGUCACAGGUCAAUGGCCUUGUCGCCGUGUCUGUGCUGUAGAUAAAGUGGGUCAACGGUCAAGGCCGUGGUCAGUGUCUCGACGCUCUUUACCCUGUCAAAGGUUAAAGGUUAUCAGUUCACCUUGAAGUAAAAUGAACCAGGUGGCAUAUUAAUUAAUAUCCUACAUUUGAAUUAGAAUUUUGAACAAUUGACCAAUCAUCCUCUUGUGUUGGCACGUUGCCUGUAUGUCGCAGUUGGACAGGUGGUCAACAU